rnacentral:rRNA from 1 species
GACGAACGCUGGCGGCGUGCUUAACACAUGCAAGUCGAACGGAAAGGCCCUGCUUUUGUGGGGUGCUCGAGUGGCGAACGGGUGAGUAACACGUGAGUAACCUGCCCUUGACUUUGGGAUAACUUCAGGAAACUGGGGCUAAUACCGGAUAGGAGCUCCUGCUGCAUGGUGGGGGUUGGAAAGUUUCGGCGGUUGGGGAUGGACUCGCGGCUUAUCAGCUUGUUGGUGGGGUAGUGGCUUACCAAGGCUUUGACGGGUAGCCGGCCUGAGAGGGUGACCGGCCACCUUGGGACUGAGAUACGGCCCAGACUCCUACGGGAGGCAGCAGUGGGGAAUAUUGCACAAUGGGCGGAAGCCUGAUGCAGCAACGCCGCGUGCGGGAUGACGGCCUUCGGGUUGUAAACCGCUUUCGCCUGUGACGAAGCGUGAGUGACGGUAAUGUGUAAAGAAGCACCGGCUAACUACGUG